rnacentral:rRNA from 1 species
GACGAACCGUGCGAACGUUGUUCGGAAUCACUGGGCUUAAAGGGCGCGUAGGCGGGCUAACAAGUCUGGGGUGAAAUGCCGCGGCUCAACCGUGGAACUGCCUCAGAUACUGUCGGCCUCGAGGAAGGUAGAGGCAGGCGGAAUUCCGGGUGUAGCGGUGGAAUGCGUAGAGAUCCGGAAGAACACCGGUGGCGAAGGCGGCCUGCUGGGCAGUAGCUGACACUGAGGCGCGACAGCGUGGGGAGCAAACAGG